rnacentral:rRNA from 1 species
CCUACGGGAGGCAGCAGUGGGGAAUAUUGGACAAUGGGCGCAAGCCUGAUCCAGCCAUGCCGCGUGUGUGAAGAAGGCCUUCGGGUUGUAAAGCACUUUUAUCCGGAAAGAAAAGCUUUGGGUUAAUACCCUGAAGUCAUGACGGUACCGGAAGAAUAAGCACCGGCUAACUUCGUGCCAGCAGCCGCGGUAAUACGAAGGGUGCAAGCGUUACUCGGAAUUACUGGGCGUAAAGCGUGCGUAGGUGGUUUGUUAAGUCUGAUGUGAAAGCCCUAGGCUCAACCUGGGAAUUGCAUUGGAUACUGGCAGGCUAGAGUGCGGUAGAGGAUAGUGGAAUUCCCGGUGUAGCAGUGAAAUGCGUAGAGAUCGGGAGGAACAUCUGUGGCGAAGGCGACUAUCUGGGCCAGCACUGACACUGAGGCACGAAAGCGUGGGGAGCAAACAGGAUUAGAUACCCUGGUAGUCCACGCCCUAAACGAUGCGAACUGGAUGUUGGGUGCAACUAGGCACUCAGUAUCGAGACUAACGACGUUAAGUUACGUCCGCCGUCGGGAGGUACGGUCGCGAGACGAGAAACGUACGAAAGAAGUAGUAGGACGGACGAGACGACGCGACGGACGGACGACGACGGGAGGGAGGAG